GCUUAAUAUGUAUUGUAAAGCAUAGAGAGUCAGACAUGGUGAUGCAAGCCUGUAAUCUCUGCAUCCUGGGAAGCUGAGGCAGGAGGAUCACAAGUUUGAUCCCAGCCUAGGAAAUUUAACAACUUAGCAAGCCCCUGUCUCAACAAAAGUGCUGGUGAUGUAGCCCAAUUCAAUCCCUAGUACCAGUACCAAAGUAUUUAGAACAAUCCAUGCUACGUAGUAAGUGCUAUAUAUUUGAGUUUAUUAUUGCUGUCAGUGUGGUGAUUAUCUUCUUGGUGCUUCCAAUGGGGCGCUUCCUUUAUUCUCUUUCUUAAAGAUCUUUCAAUUUUUGGUAUCCUCUGUCACUGCAGAAAGCAGUGUCCCCUAGUUCAUAUGUUCAAAGAAUCUGACAAGCACAAUAUUAACUUAAGGACAGUUUUCUUUCAGGAGACUGGAAUCUAAAAUGGCUCUUUUAUCAUUUUUUCAGUGAAUUAUAUUUCAACAAAGGAGAUCACAGUUUUAAUAAUACCUACAUGGACAUGAAGACCAUGUUCAGAAUGUCUGAGCCAGAUUUUAAGAAGAAUUAUCUGAUGGUGACUUUCAACUGCAUCCAUGUCUGUGCCCUGCCAUGCAGCCUCUUCAGGGUAGCUCCUGGGCAGAGAUGCUCCCAGACUUUCACUCCCAGUCACCAGAGAGCUGCACUCAAAAGAGUGAGUGCAAGCCCGUGCUCCUGCCCCAGCUCUGAAGCCACCAAGACCCAGUCCUGUGAAGAGGCACGGAGGUAUCUCAAAUGACUGCCUCAGGAUAUCGCCGCUAGGAGGAUUUGUGUACUUCUCAAACUAGGAAACUGUUCAUUCUACGUAAAACCACAGUCCACUCUCUUUGCUUAAAUCAUCAGUGUUCAGAGAAUAAAAGAUGAUCGGCAGAAGGGUCUGAUCUAUGUUCACUUGGUUCUGCGGAGGAACAACAGAACACUUGCAUUCAAUUAGAAUUAAUUUCCUUCUGGUUCUC
rnacentral:lncRNA from 1 species